rnacentral:lncRNA from 1 species
UCUUCCAUUUUUUAUUUUCGUUUUGCACAAACUAGUUCUUAUACUUCCAAUAGUAGUAGUGCACUUACUAUCUUAGAUACUUCUCAAUAUUGAAUCCUAGACUCAGGAACUACUAGUCACAUGACAGAACAAUCCAAGUCUUUCAUGUCAUAUUCACCUUACUCUAGUCAGGAUAAAGUAUAUAUAACUGAUGGAUCCUUCUCCACC